rnacentral:ncRNA from 2 species
AGAGGAAGCCGGUGUGAUUCCGGCGCGGUCCCGCCACUGUGAUCGGCGAGUCGAUCCCGACAGGCCACUGCCCGUGAGGGCGGGAAGGCCGGGAUCGGCGGCGACCCGAGAGCCAGGAGACUC